rnacentral:lncRNA from 1 species
UCCAGAUAAUUCUAGUGCCCAAUCCUUCAAGUCUUGUCGGGCUGCUCAAGCCUUCCCAUCUGGGGCCCCAGACAUGAGGAAGCCCUCCCUACUCUGCCCUGAGUGCCUGAUCCUCAGAACCUGUGAGCGUAAUAAAAUGGGCCUGUUCCGUGUCCCUAAAUGAGGGGGGUCUGGUGCACAGCAGUAAAGAACCAGAAUGCCCCUCAUUCACAAAGACUCUGGCAACACUGCAGUUUCCAUCUCCUUCCAGAUCGGCUAUCCCCUGGGAGACUUCAGUGUCACACAAAUGACCUCUCACUGCCAACACUCUGACCUCCCAGUCCUUGACCUCCUCACCCACAGCAAUGUCCUCACCUAAGUCACCUGGGCUAACUCUUCCAGUGAACAAACGGCAGGGUCUGGGAGUUUUAAGGGACACCGCGAGGGCUGUUAUAAGGUAAAUGGAGGCUUCCUCUUGUAGCCCCUCCAAAGGUCCUGUGCCUCCCCCUAGCGUUGUCAUCAUGCAGGAUAUUGGGAAGAGCAGCAGGUCACAAAGUCACCGUGUCAAGCCUCCUGUCAAUCAUAACAGGGAAUUCAUAACAGAGUUGGGGUGGGAGGUGGGGAAUUGGCAUCAUUCGCUCCGGCUUCUGAGCCGGUGCCUCCGGCUUUUCACCAGCACUUGAUUCCGUCUCAGACCAAAUAUGCGGAUGUCCUUCGUCACCUACUCCAUGGACUGUGACACCGUCUUGCUGCUCACCUCAGACAAGGGCACAGAAAGUCAAGGAGGCCAGGCAAUCUAAGCAAUUCGGCAGAUGGAAAAUUUCAACUCCACAUACAACAAGGUUUCCAGCAUGAUUAUUGCUAUGACCGAUGGAACAAUGAUGAAACAUCCAUUUUUGGACACUCUCAAAGAAAUCCUACCAUGUGGUUAUUCAUGGAAAUGGCUUUCAGACUCUAAAGAAACAAGACGAAGUUAUUUGCAGAUUUAUCUUCAAACGAAAGCACUAUCAUUGGUAAGUUGUCUCCUCGGUGCCUCUGAGUCACGUAUUUCCCAUACAAUACUGCCUUUCCCCACAGCCAGCCAAGCCUCCCAGCCCUUGCCAGCUGUUCCCUGUGGACCCUGUGGGGUUAGAGGCCAUGAGGACAAGUGGAAGGAGGUACUGGGAAGCCCGGCCACCCCUCCCUUCAUCUGCCAAGCGGGGAAGUAACAAAUCCCAAGAGAGCAUCUCAGAUCAGGGCUUCCCCCUCAGUGAGGCUGGGUUUAGGACUGGUUCUGCCAUCACAGCUGCAUCUGCCCACCUUAGCCUCAGUUUCCCCUUCCCUUGAGAGCCCAGGACCCGAAGCCCACAAGGCUACUCCUGGGAAAUGGUGGCAGCCCUGGA